CCUAAGUGUUUGUCUUAGGUUUAAAUCCACACUUAGUUGAAUAGUUUGGGCUUAUAGUUUGAGUUUUUCUUGUUUAAUAGAUUCGGGUGUUUUAUGGCCUAGGAACAUCUUCCUCAGGCAUUUAUAUUAGUUCCUCUUUUAUAGUAGUGAUUUGUUUCUCCUUCGUCCGUGGAUAUAUAUCAAUUAGCCGAACCACAUAAAUCUGGUGUUCUUAUCGUUUUUAUUUUUUUCGCUUUAUUGUCUUUGUUGGAUUAUCAAAAUUAUCAUUUAAAUUUUUUGGGACUAGCUCUAAUGUUAGUAAAUUGCGUAGAGAAGAUCUCGGUUGGGGAUGGGAAUAUCGUGAAGAUGACAGGAAUAAAGGACAUGCUCUAUGUGUUAUCAGAAAUUGAGAUGUGAAGGCAACUUGGUGCUUGGGCAAAAGAACUUCAAGGAAUGAAAAGUUACUGCAUAAAGGAGUUUGCAGAAGCUUUGGAGGCAUGCCCAGGGUGAGACUAAUGCUGGUAUCAACGUGAGGAAGGGUCUGAUCACCAACAUAUUGGGGGAAAAUGUGGUGCAGCCACUGCUGGUUAUCACAAGUGCAAUUACACUCGCCACCAAGUGUGUGAGGAUGGUCUUAAAGAUCGACGGCAUUAUGACUGUGAGGUAGAUUGGAGCAUAUGUCAACAGGCAACAAGCUUGGGACUUGUAUGAUUUCGUUGUACUUUUGAUGCUUCUCUAAUCUACAAGAUCGAUGACAUUAUCACUGUGAGGCAGAUCGGAGCAUAUGCCAACGGGCAACAAGCUUGGAACUUGUUAGAUUUUGUUCUACCUUUGAUGCUUCUCAAAUCUACCAGAGCUGCAACGCAAGCAAGGGCCACUCCUUUUUGAGUCUUUGUUACCAGUUUAAGAGUCGUAGCGAUUACAGUCUUAAUUUGUUUAUAAGUAUGUUUGUUGUUAAGAGUAUCUAUCGUGGUUUUUGCCUUGACUUGCUGGCGACUCAGCCAUCAUGAAAUUGAAAUGAGUGAAUCCUUGUUAUUUGUUACUUGUUCACUUUGUUCAACCAGUGAGCUUCAUAUUAUUUGUUCAACCCGA